rnacentral:rRNA from 1 species
CAAUAGCGUAUAUUAAAGUUGUUGCAGUUAAAAGCUCGUAGUCGGAUUUUGGCAUCACGCCGAACUGUCUGCCGAUUGGUAAGUACGGUUUGGCGGGUGCUUCCUUCCGGAGGCUCGUUCCCUUCUUCAUUGAAGGGUUCGUUGGUUCCGGGUCUUUUACUUUGAGAAAAUUAGAGUGUUCAAAGCGGGCUUACGCUUGAAUAUUUCAGCAUGGAAUAACACUAUAGGACUCCUGUCCUAUUUCGUUGGUCUCGGGACGGGAGUAAUGAUUAAGAGGAACAGUUGGGGGCAUUCGUAUUUCAUUGUCAGAGGUGAAAUUCUUGGAUUUAUGAAAGACGAACUUCUGCGAAAGCAUUUGCCAAGGAUGUUUUCAUUAAUCAAGAACGAAAGUUGGGGGCUCGAAGACGAUCAGAUACCA